GGGGUUGUAGCUCAGUGGUAGAGAGCCUGCCUCACAUGUAUGAGGCCCUGGGUUUGAUUCUCAGAACCACA
rnacentral:tRNA from 1 species